UACAGAGGGGGCAAGCGUUGUUCGGAAUUACUGGGCGUAAAGGGCGCGUAGGUGGCCUUCUAAGUUGAACGUGAAAUCCCUGGGCUCAACCCAGGAACUGCGUCCAAGACUGGGAGGCUUGAAUUCGGGAGAGGGAUGCAGAAUUCCAGGUGUAGCGGUGAAAUGCGUAGAUAUCUGGAGGAAUACCGGUGGCGAAGGCGGCAUCCUGGACCGACAUUGACGCUGAUGAGCGAAAGCUAGGGGAGCAAACGGG
rnacentral:rRNA from 1 species